rnacentral:rRNA from 1 species
UACGUAGGGCGCAAGCGUUAUCCGGAAUUAUUGGGCGUAAAGAGCUCGUAGGCGGUUUGUCGCGUCUGCCGUGAAAGUCCGGGGCUCAACCCCGGAUCUGCGGUGGGUACGGGCAGACUAGAGUGAUGUAGGGGAGACUGGAAUUCCUGGUGUAGCGGUGAAAUGCGCAGAUAUCAGGAGGAACACCGAUGGCGAAGGCAGGUCUCUGGGCAGUAACUGACGCUGAGGAGCGAAAGCGUGGGGAGCGAACAGG